rnacentral:rRNA from 1 species
AUUGAACGCUGGCGGCAUGCCUUACACAUGCAAGUCGAACGGUAACGCGGGGCAACCUGGCGACGAGUGGCGAACGGGUGAGUAACGCAUCGGAACGUGCCCAGUAGUGGGGGAUAGCCCGGCGAAAGCCGGAUUAAUACCGCAUACGACCUACGGGUGAAAGGGGGGGAUCGCAAGACCUCUCGCUAUUGGAGCGGCCGAUGUCAGAUUAGGUAGUUGGUGGGGUAAAGGCCUACCAAGCCGACGAUCUGUAGCUGGUCUGAGAGGACGACCAGCCACACUGGGACUGAGACACGGCCCAGACUCCUACGGGAGGCAGCAGUGGGGAAUUUUGGACAAUGGGCGAAAGCCUGAUCCAGCCAUGCCGCGUGCGGGAAGAAGGCCUUCGGGUUGUAAACCGCUUUUGUCAGGGAAGAAAUCUUCUGGGUUAAUACCUCGGGAGGAUGACGGUACCUGAAGAAUAAGCACCGGCUAACUACGUGCCAGCCGCCGCAGUAA